UCUCUCCAUCUCUCAUUCCCCCCUAAUUUCUUACAUUUCAAAUGGCUAAAGAAACUUGACUUCAUGAAUUCUAGCUCUAGCUCUGACUGUAAGGGCCGUAUUUUCCUUGUCUACUUCAGUCCUUCCACUAUACACAAUUUUCGUUUUCUGUGCAAUCAUUUUGGUGGUCUGAAUGAAUUUCGUACUGCACUCACUCGUGGGUUGAUUGGAUUGCUGAUACUCUAGUUUGUAGAUGAGGUUGAUUUGCCUUUGGGAGGAGGUACCAGUGCUUCUGUUGGCCCUGAACAUGGCAUCAAUUUUUUUUACUUGUAGUUCAGAAAUUUGUCUCUGGCAAUCGCGAAUCUUGUUAGCAGCUGCACCUCCAGCAAGAAUUGCUUCCUCAAGUUCUUUAAUAGUUUGUGUAAGCUUUUCAACUUCUAAAAUCUUUUGACG